rnacentral:rRNA from 1 species
AUAAUUAUAAUCUUACUAGCUUUUUUUUUUUUUUUUUUAGAAAUAUCUUUUUAUUUAGUAUGUUAUUGAAUAAUAUUUUUUUGUUAUAGUAUAUUAGUACUGUGAAGUAAAUGUUGAAAUAAAUUAAUAAUAAUUUUUUUUAAGUAUAUAUUAUUUAUAGUACCUUUUGUAUCAGGGUUGAUUAAAUUUUUUAAUUUAUUUUUAAAUCUCGAUUUCAAAAGAGCUAAUUUAAUAUGUUAGUUAAUGUUUUAUAAUUAUUAAUAAUAUAAAUUAGAUGAGAAAUUUUAUUCGGUUUUGAAGGUAUCUAGUUUUUUAAGAAUUAAAUUUAAUUUAACUUUAUUAUUUAAAUUAUAUAUUUUAUAUAAUUUAUAUAUUAAAUUAAAAUUUAUAGGGGAUGAGCUCUAUAUAUUUUUAUAAAAUUUUUUAAUUAAUAAAUUUUGGUAGGUUUAAAAUUAUCCAUCAAUUAUUAAGUGUGUUACAAUAUACAUUUGUUAUUAAUUAAUUUUUUUUGUUUUUAGUUAAAUAUUAAAAUACUUUAAAUAAUUUAAUAUUUUAGGAAAUAAUGAUUAAAUUAGUAUAAAUAAUUGUUUAUUUUAAUUUAUAAAUAAUGAUAAAAUAAGGAACUCGGCAAAUAUUAUUCUCGCCUGUUUAACAAAAACAUGUCCUUUUGUGUUUAAUUUAAGGUCUUACCUGCCCAGUGAUUUAUUUAACGGCCGCGGUAUACUGACCGUGCAAAGGUAGCAUAAUCAUUAGUCUUUUAAUAGAGGGCUGGAAUGAAAGGUUUAACGAGGAAUAUACUGUCUCAUUUUAUUUGUUUUAAAAUUUAAUUUUUUGGUUAAAAAGCUAAAAUUUUAUUGGAAGACGAGAAGACCCUAUAGAUCUUUAUAUAAUUAUUUUUAAUUUAUUUUUAUAAUAUUUUAAUUAUUAGUGAUUAUAUUUUGUUGGGGUGACAAAAAUAUAAAUAUAACUUUUUUAUUUAAAUAACAUUGAUUAAUGAUUGAAUGAUCCAUUAUUAGUGAUUAUUAGAUUAAGUUACCUUAGGGAUAACAGCGUAAUCCUCCUUUGGAGUUCUUAUUUGCAGGAUGGGCUUGCGACCUCGAUGUUGGAUUAAGAUAAUAGUUAGGUGUAGCCGCUUAAUUUAUAGGUCUGUUCGACCUUAAAACU